UACGAAGGGGGCUAGCGUUGUUCGGAUUUACUGGGCGUAAAGCGCACGUAGGCGGAUCGAUCAGUCAGGGGUGAAAUCCCAGAGCUCAACUCUGGAACUGCCUUUGAUACUGUCGAUCUGGAGUAUGGAAGAGGUGAGUGGAAUUCCGAGUGUAGAGGUGAAAUUCGUAGAUAUUCGGAGGAACACCAGUGGCGAAGGCGGCUCACUGGUCCAUUACUGACGCUGAGGUGCGAAAGCGUGGGGAGCAAACAGGAUUAAUGACUACCGUGUC
rnacentral:rRNA from 1 species